ACAUAUUCAAAAUAAAAUUACAUAUGAAAAAUAGUGAUCAAAUAAUCCAAUAUAUAUAAUAUAUUCAAAAUGUACACAUAAAUUAACAAAGUACAAUAAUAAAAUCCUAAUACAAGUCUAUUGUGGUGGUAGUGGCGGGGGAUAUGGUUUGAUAGCGUCCUAAUCCUCAACUUUAACCGUCAAAAUCUUGACAAUUCCCUACAAAAGAACAAACAUGGUCAAAUAACCAAAAAAACAACAUAAAAUAAUACCAAAAAAUUGACAUAAUCUCCCCUAAAAUUAGAAUACCCCAAAUCUGACCCCAAACUUCACCCUUUACCCUGUACUUGACCCCAAACCCUGCACCAAACUCAAAAUUAAUUCCAAAAACACAUAUUAAUGAUAAAAAAUUAAAAUUUGGGGAGAAUAUACCUUUUGGCAAGAUUGAGAGUGAGUAAGAAUGAGAGGAGGAGUGAGUGUGAGAGAAUUAGAGGAGAUAGUGAGAGAGAGAUGAGAGAGAUGAGAGAGUGAGAGAUAGUGAAGAGAGAGAGAGAGAGAGAAGAGAGAUUAAGUGAGAGGAGUGAGUGAGAGAGGGUUGGAUUUGGUGAGAGGGAAAGAGCGCGGAGAGGUAAGAGAAUAGAGAAAUACAUUAAGAAAAUUGUGGAGUUAUUUUGGUUUUAAAAACCGUAUCACUUUGCGCGAUGAAGGAUACGAGUUUGCGCAACAAAAUAUUGGUCGCGCAAAGUCUUAAAAAUUUUAAAUUUUUUUCUACAUCCCAUUUUUGGUGCUCGCCCAAAUUUUUAGAGUUCUGUGCGACAAAGUGUUGGUCCGUCGAGCAAAAUUUAUAAAAAAUAAUUUUAUAAAUAAUAAAAAAGAAAAUAAUUAUAUUUUACAAUUUCAAAUAUAAAUAAAUUAAAAUAAAUAAGGUUUAGGCGACCAAAUGUGUAUUCGUCAGGCAAAAAUAAAAAAUAAAAAAAAUAAAGAAAUAACUAGUUUAACAAUAUAAAAUAUAAAAAUAAAUACAAAACAAGUAAAUAAGGUUUAGGCGACGAAAUAUUGAUAUUCGUCAUGACACACCCCGACUCGGAAUGUCCAUGUAGACACUCAAAUCGCAAUGUGCUGGCGGACAACUAGAAGGUGACGAAGUCAUAAAGUAUAGUGAUGUGGAAAAUGUGAAUAAAUUAAAACAUAUAAGUGACUAAUUUAGAGUGCGCAUGUGAGCGGGAUUGAACCCAUAUCACACAAGUGAUGUCAGAGCAUAGAUAAACUGCAGUAAAAGAAGAGUAAGGACAUUUAUACUGAAAGGAGAAGUCUCCUAUGUAACAACUUUUACCAACAAUCCUCGUCGUCACGAAAACUCUGGCACUAAGAACCUAGAGGGGCAAAAAACAGGGAUGAAUGAGCCUGAAAAUAAAGUUUUGUAAAACAUUUUCAAAAAGUGUAGCCCAUUGCUGUAAAGCAAGUAUAUGGUUUCCCAAAAAUAUUAUAAUAAUAAUAUCAACAAGUGUAGCCCAUUACCUACGCACUCGUAGCGUCAUGUACUUCGAGAAUAAGUGUGCAGUAUCUUCGAGUUAAGCCCAAACCAAAAAUAAAUAACUAAAUGAAUAAAUAAAAAUACUAACGUAGACGAGCCUACUUGUCCCUUUGCUUAACGAAUCCGAAGAAUAAGUUAUCGAUACUACAGUUUAGCCCGCAAUACCAACAACUCACUGUUGUCCCGAAGCGAGUAACAAAUUCCCGAGGGUGCAAUAUUGCCAUCUUUCCCCUCAUUGGGAAACACACAUACAUCAUUUGAUCAAAGCCUUGAUCGCGUUCACGUACUACCCACUCGGGCGAUAACGCUAAUAACACUCAAUUUCCUAAAUUGUAAUCUCGAUCCUUCGAUCACCUGUUUGCAAUACUAUUAUGUCAACCAUAUACUAUGCAUAUAAUCUAUACAACGUCUUAAACGAUGCUAUACCCAAAACUGAAAGUUGUAGCCGUAGUUACAUGCAACUGUAACAAGGAUAGGUGUCAGUCAUAAUCAUGCUAAAAUUACACAAUGAAUAAAACACAAUACAUCAACAGAAAUCUAGAUAGUUCGUUCAGACUGGCCAUUAGUCUGAGGGUGAAUGUGGUAUUGGAUAACAACUUAGUACCCAUGGCUUUCAAGAAGACUUCCCAAAACUUGGAAGUGAAACACGCAUCACAGUGAGAUAAUGUAGUGACAUGCUCACCAUAUAGUCUAACAAUGUAGUUCACAACGCCUUAGCGAGUAGAUUCAUAGUAAAUUUCUCUCGAAUUUUAGCGAAAAAUUAUGUCGAGAAGGCUAAAAGAACAUUCAAGAAUUUGAGAGUCAAAACAAGUUCAUCAAAUCUAGAGUACAAGGUAAUUGGAUUAAAUGCAUACCAUCUCGCUACAACGGUAGCUUCUGGAAGAUUCAAUCACCAAGGGUAGAGAUUCGUUUAGUAGAGUACUUGUUGGGUGAUUGAGGCAUUGAUGGUCGUAACUAAAAUUUCAAGGUCCGAGCAAUGUUCCUAGACAAUCUGUCUUCUUCAGAAAUAAUACCAAAAAGGCAGUAAGGUAGACACGUGCCUAAAGUUGAUUGGAAUAUCGUCCAGCAUAAGAGGUGAAUAUGGGAUCAUGGUCAAAGUAGAUACCAACCAAAAUGCUAGAAAAUCUGAUAAAUUCAAGCAUGAGAAAUUUUACUAAGUGGUCUAAAAUGUAGUCCCUCUAGGACCAAUGGAAAGUGAACUGACUUGUCAAGUCGGUUGAUAAUCACCAAAACAUCAUCAUAAUGUCCACAUGUACAAGAUACCUCGUACAGGGAGCUUAUGGUGAUAUUUCCCUAUCUCCAUUUAGAUACAUGAAGUAAUUAUAACCACUUAACGGUUUCUUGAUGAUUUAUAGGUAACGUCAUAUCAAUACUCAUGAAUUUCUGUUAGAAUAAGAUAUGACAGGUUGAAAGUGUUCAAGGGUAGAUAUGUCUUUUGCUAUAGUAAUCAGUAAUUAUGUUUGCACAACUGGGGUGGUACACGACGGUGCAAUUGUAGGUGUUGAUCUAGUUCGUCCAUCGUCGCUAUAAGAAAUUUAGUUCCUUUCAAAGGAAGAUAUAUUUGAGAAGUUUGUGAGAUUGGUAAAGAUUUUGGACACGUUUCUCCACAAAUAAGUGUUAUCCAGUUUUCAAGUAAAGAUGAUAACUGUGGACUCUAUGUCAUGAGUAAGAUGGUUCAUUUCAUACGAUUCCAACCGUUAGGAAGCUUACGUAAUAUUUCGUCAUGUUGCAUCAGUACGUAGCCAAAUCAUUCAAAGAAACGUCAUCAUGGAUUUCGAAAUUAUCGAUGCUAUUGAAAAGUGUACAAACAAGGGUAGGAAAUAGACAACACCUCAGUUGUCACAACUUUAAUCAUAUUCCACGUCUCAACUAAACUGAUUUUCCUUGUCCAACAUGGAAGGAAAAACGCCACCACUGAAAGGUCACUAAAAAAUUGCUGAUAAAAUCGACAAGGCCAAGGAUAUCGCAUAUUUCACAACAAUUUGUGGGAAUAUCCAAUUUUCUACAAUUGCAACCUUUUUGGAAAUUAACAAGAAUGUCUUCUGUUCAGAUCACAUCUCCCAAGAAGAGUACCAAUCUAAACAAAGCUACCAUUUGAGGAAUUUGGUAUAAAGUUGGUUGUCGAUGUUUAGAAAUUUGAUCUUGUUGCUCGGGUAGUUAAGAAGGUCGUCGACAAGACUACUACAAAUUCGUUAGGUUAUGGUAGAAACUCAAUUCUAAAAGUUGGUCAAAGAGACCAUCAAUUCGAAGUAUAGGUUAACGGUUUUUAAUCGUCACCCGGUUGAGUUGCUAAAAUCUAGGUACGAUCCUAAGGUUCAAUCUUUCGCCUUCACGGAUAGGUUUGAUGCUCCCAAGAUAAAGUAUUUGGUUGGGUAGUUUCCUAAUUGGUAAGUUUUGUAAUUAAGUUUACUCAAUGACGUUAUAGUUGUUCAGGAAGAUGCCAGGAAAAUUGGUGUAAUACUAGAAAGUGGACCGAUGGUGUACUUCAUUUCACAAUUUGGUGAUAUCCUAGGUAAAAUUUUGGGAAAUGACGCCAAAGAUAUUUUUCCUUAAAACGUACCAUACUAUUCUCUUCCUAAUGACACGUGCUAAUAGGUCUUCAUGGCAUUCUCGAUACUCAAAUUGCUCUUACAACGGAAAAUUAACUCAUGCUUCAAUUCUAAUGUUUGUCGAUGGAAGCGAUCACAAUGAUGAAUGGUCGAGAAUGUUCUGGUUACCUAGAUAGGUAAAACAGUUAACACAACUGCGAGUUUACUGUUCUCCUAAAAGGCUUGCUCCUAAGUUUCCACGAUUUUAAUUUCUUCGGCUCAGGUAGUCACUAUUAAUCAGUUUAUUAGUUACGCAACUAAUUAACGCAUUUAUGAUAUUUUGAUAUCGUUCAUUACCCUAAAACUAUGAACCAGCAUUUUGGCACAAAGGUAUCACUCCCAGAUACUAGCAACUGUUUGGUAUCAGAAAUCAUACCGCCUGAAUACUGGUUUACAGUUCUGGGAUAUCGGAUAUCAUCUUCAAAGUGCUUUCGUAGGCUGAUUACAGGUUAAAGCCCACUCGGGUGGAUGGUUUUCGACGUUUGGUUAGAAAUUGGUCAUAUGAGGUGGUUUCAUAAAUCUAGGGAAAAUACUUACUACUUCGGGGAUUUCUACUAACCGUUGGUAUAACAACUCAUACUUUGGUGCUUAUACUCAUCGAAAUGACGAGUACAUCACCAAAAGAAAUUCUGGGAACUAGUAUUAGUUGGAGUGUUCUAAAGUCAGAAAAAGGAAUUUGCUACUAACCUACUUCAGAACAGGUUUAAUGAGAUUUGAUCUUCCUCCUGAAGAUUCAGAAUUAUAACUAACUAUUUUAAGAAGAUUAGUGCUAUCGGGGACCAAAAGUGAUUGUCCCCCAUGCGUGUUUCCACUUCAGCAUCACCAAAAGAAAUUCUGGGAACUAGUAUUAGUUUGAGUGUUCUAAAGUCGGAAAAAGGAAUUUGCUAAUAACCUACUUUAGAACAGGUUUAAUGAGAUUCGAUCUUCCUCCUGAAGAUUCAGAAUUAUAACUAACGAUUUUAAGAAGAUUAGUGCUAUCGGGGACCAAAAGUGAUUGUCCUCCACUUGUGUUUCCACUUCAGCACUAACAUAGUCACUCAGGACAUUUUUGGAAACUUCAACGUGAAGCAAAACCUCGAGGAAAUUUUGGGAGAUGGCACAAAAUAAAGAUUGCCAAGGAUGAAAGUGCUUGAGGUUUCUUAACAAAGAAGGGUUGGUAACGAUGGUUGGAUUGUAGUUGUGAUUGAUCGGUAAAUUUUUGGUGGUACACAAUUAUCGAUGCGUCUACCCUACUUCAGGGUCAACAAAACGUCUUCAUUUUAGGUAUUUCUUAGCAAAGAGGUUCUUCACGUAAGCCCUAGUGGUGGUCGCCAAAGUGUUCUUCUAGAAGGUCAAUAAGUGGUCAACAAAGUGUCAGUGAUAGUCAUUCCAAGUUGCCCAAAAGUCAUGAAAAGUUGGCACAUUUUGUGUUCGAUGAGGUGGCAUAAUUAUAACAUUAGAAUUCAAGAAUUGAGAAUGCUUACAUCACAUGUGUGAUGAUUGCGAUACUGCUUGACCUAUGCUUUGAUACCAAACUGACACACCCCAACCCAGAAUGUCCACGUAGGCACCUGAAUCGCGAUUUGUUGGCUGACACCUGGAAGGUGACGAAGCCAUAAAGUGUAGUGAUGUGGAAAAUGUGAAUAAAUUAAAACUUAAAAGUGACUAAUUUAGAGUGCGCAUGUGAGCGGGAUUAAACCCAUAUCACACAAGUGAUGUCAGAGCAUAAAUAAAUUGCAGUAAAAGAAGAGUAAGAAGAUUUAUACUGAAAAGAGAAGUCUUCUAUGUAACAGCUUUUACCAACAAUCCUCGUCAUCACGAAACCUUUGGCACUAAGAUCCUGAAAGGGCAAAAAACAAGGGUGGGUAGGCCUGAAAAUAAAGUUUUGUAAAACCUUUUCGAAAAGUGUAACCCCUCGUUGUAAAACCAGUAUAUGGUUUCCCAAAAAUAUUAUAAUAAUUGUACGUAAUAAGGUACCCUGCAGCACUAGUGAGCUAAAGGAUGUAGGCCAACAACAAGGUAUCACAACAUCAAAUCUCAAUUCGUUAUUAUAAGAAAUCAAUGCUCAUUCAUUUAUGUAGGCACAUAAGUCCAUUGUGGAGAUAUUCUGACAAUGGAACAGGUUGGGUGUGGGUUUUACAUUUUAGUACUACAUCAUGUGAGAUGCGCUAGUGACAUCACAUACGAGUCCAAAACAUCACACAAAAGGACAAGCUGACACCUAACUCUGAUUCCAAAGCGAAUGUAAACGAUGCAUGUGAACUACACGUGACGUUGGUCCCAGAAUAAUACAAAUAACUAAGAGACACCGUGCAAACAUGUAAUAAUGAGUAGAUAAAACACAAGGAUAUCAUCCCACAAGUUUAUGCUCACAAAUAAUAUUAAAAACAUAAAGUGUACGAAAAGUCAAUUUGUAAAGCUAAACAUGGCAUGUCACAUCAUAAUAUAUAAAAGCAAUUGUUGGGAAAAUCACACACACAUAUAUAUAUAUACACGUAAAAACGAAAAGACCUACUAACAGGUACUUGAGAUGUCAUGUCCUUUCGAGCUAAAAUAGUCGGAGUCUCCGAUAGUAAUCACACACAAGUAUAAUAUUGGGGCCCAUUAGUAAAACUCAACUUAAACGACUAAAUUUGGGAAAAUGGAAUGCGGAUUCGGAAUCAAAGCGUCGAAAUACGCCAAGAGGCAUCCUGGUAAGUUUCGUAAAAGGUCAACGAAAAGUCAACGGUCAAUCCUAAAAAAGUCAACCGAGAUGCCUAUGCGGUCAACUAACCUAGUAAUUUCACUAAAUGGAUGUCAAAAAUAGACUCAGGUCGUCAAAAUUAGCUUAGGAGGGUUUUCAAGAAAAUUUCAAAAAAAGUUCCAUCCUCAGGCAGAAUAUUCUGUUAAAGUUAACGAAAUAUUCGAGGGAAAUAUUCCCUCUAAAAUUUGAAAUGGAUCCGGGUCAGAUUCGGGUUACGGUAAAUGGGUCGUGGGCUUGGGCCGAUUCUAGGUUUGGGCUUUUUUUUCCUAGUUGGGUUGACUCGAUCCCUGUCACGGGUUCCGUCGCUGAAAUCUGGGUAGCGAUUCCAAAGCUCCAAACGAGUUCAAAACUUAACCAUUUUUCACAUUCUUCCUACCAAAAUGAAGAUAAAUGAGAGUAGUUUAGAAUUAUACCUUUCCCCGAGUUAGCCGUGGCAGGAGUUGGCCUGAAAAGGCCUGCAACUCGCGGCAUACACCUCCCAAAAAACUAGGGAAGACUCCCGAGGUAUGUAUGCAUUCAAAUGUCACCAAAAUCCUUAAGAAACACUAGAAAAGUAUAGUAAAACACAAUCCACGAAGAUUUGGGUGGUUUUCAAAACUUACCUUCGUCGGAAACGAUGAGGAGUUGCUGAAGGACACAGCGAUGAUUUCGGUGCCUCUGUUCCGUGAGCACAAAGAAAGUGAGGGAGACAGAAGAUUGAGAUAGAGGGAGAGUGACAGAGGAGAGGGACGUGGUGAUUGGAAACAAGGAUGAUGGUGGUCGUGAAACAAGGAGUUAGCGAUCGCCAUGGCUGAUUCUGUGCAGCGAGCACAGAGUGAGUGAAAGAGGUAGGGAGUCCAUGAGAGAUGUGAGGGAGUCUGAUCCUUGUGAAUUGAGUUUUGGAAAGGAUGACAGGUAGUGGCCUUAAAAUGGUGGUUUAGUGAAGCUCGCCGAAGGUGUGGCGGUGAUGGCGGGCCUCUGUGUUUACAGAGAGAAAGAAAGUGAAAAGAACGAGUGUGCGGGACUUAGAGUGUUGAGGCAAAUGAGCGAUAAUGACAGAGGGAUAAUGCUUGACUGAGAGAAGAAAACUGAAAAGAUAGGGAAAGUGGAGAUUAAAGAAAACAAAAGAUAUGGAUGUGAUGGUCAAAAUAACAAAAGAAAUGAAUAUGGUGAUUAUAAAAACAAGAAGAGUCGGCAAAACUCAGAGAGGGAAAUCACGGUUUGGAUUUCCAAUCCCAUAUAGAAAUUAAACGUGGGUCUCACCACUCAAUUAUAGCAAUAGGUAGAAAAAUGCUAAUUUCGAAAAGGAAGCGUAACUAAGACUCCGAAUUCGGUUCUGCUUACAUCCACGAGUUCGUGCCGUCGAGUACUACAAUGAUACAUUAAGAGGAUGUUUCAUAUGUCUCACUAUACAUUGGUCAACGAAGGUCAACAAUCUCACCUGUAGGGGCAUUUUUCUCAAUUCACUCUUUUAAACGUAAUAAAAUCGAAAAAUUAAGGAUGGACUGUUAUACGUCGAGCAAAGUUUUUAAAAAAUAAUAAAAAUUUAUGAAAAUAACUAUAUUUUAAAAUUUAUAAUAUAAAAUUAAAUAAAAAAACAAAAAUAAAAUGGUUUAGGCGACGAAAUAUUUGGAUUACGUCGUG
rnacentral:lncRNA from 1 species